CUCAGGACGAACGCUGGCGGCGUGCCUAACACAUGCAAGUCGAACGGGGUAAAGAUUUCGGUUUUUACUUAGUGGCGAACGGGUGAGUAACGCGUGAGAAACCUGCCUUUCAGUGGGGGACAACAGUUGGAAACGACUGCUAAUACCGCAUAAUGUCAUUUGGGGGCAUCCCUGGGUGACCAAAGAUUUAUUGCUGAAAGAUGGUCUCGCGUCUGAUUAGCUGGAUGGCGGGGUAACGGCCCACCAUGGCGACGAUCAGUAGCCGGUCUGAGAGGAUGAACGGCCACAUUGGGACUGAGAUACGGCCCAGACUCCUACGGGAGGCAGCAGUGGGGAAUAUUGGGCAAUGGGGGGAACCCUGACCCAGCAACGCCGCGUGAAGGAAGAAGGCCCUCGGGUUGUAAACUUCUUUUACCAGGGACGAAGAAAGUGACGGUACCUGGAGAAAAAGCAACGGCUAACUACGUGCCAGCAGCCGCGGUAAUACGUAGGUUGCAAGCGUUGUCCGGAUUUACUGGGUGUAAAGGGCGUGUAGGCGGGACUGUAAGUCAGAUGUGAAAUGUCGGGGCUCAACCCCGGAGCUGCAUCUGAAACUGUGGUUCUUGAGUGCCGGAGAGGAAAGCGGAAUUCCUAGUGUAGCGGUGAAAUGCGUAGAUAUUAGGAGGAACACCAGUGGCGAAGGCGGCUUUCUGGACGGUAACUGACGCUGAGGCGCGAAAGCGUGGGGAGCAAACAGGAUUAGAUACCCUGGUAGUCCACGCCGUAAACGAUAGAUACUAGGUGUAGGAGGUAUCGACCCCUUCUGUGCCGGAGCAAACGCAAUAAGUAUCCCACCUGGGGAGUACGGUCGCAAGAUUAAAACUCAAAGGAAUUGACGGGGACCCGCACAAGCAGUGGAGUAUGUGGUUUAAUUCGAAGCAACGCGAAGAACCUUACCAGGGCUUGACAUCCCGUGCAUAGCAUAGAGAUAUGUGAAAUCCUUCGGGACACGGAGACAGGUGGUGCAUGGUUGUCGUCAGCUCGUGUCGUGAGAUGUUGGGUUAAGUCCCGCAACGAGCGCAACCCUUAUUGUUAGUUGCCAUCAUUAAGUUGGGCACUCUAACGAGACUGCCGGUGACAAAUCGGAGGAAGGUGGGGACGACGUCAAAUCAUCAUGCCCCUUAUGAUUUGGGCUACACACGUGCUACAAUGGCGUAAACAAAGAGAGGCGAAACCGCGAGGUGGAGCAAAUCUCAAAAAUAACGUCUCAGUUCGGAUUGUAGUCUGCAACUCGACUACAUGAAGCUGGAAUCACUAGUAAUCGCGAAUCAGAAUGUCGCGGUGAAU
rnacentral:rRNA from 1 species